rnacentral:misc_RNA from 1 species
CCGAGCGAGCGCCCUCGGGCACGACCUCCAACCCUUUUGUGAAAUCCAACCUGUUGCCUCGGGGUGACCCGGCCUCGCCCGGCCCCCGAUGGACGAUUUGACCCAACUCUGCAUCUUUGCGUCGGAUAUGAAAAGUCAAUUGAUUUA